rnacentral:lncRNA from 1 species
AGCUAUUAAAGUAAGUGCCCAUCUUUUUUUAUUAUUAUUAUUAAAAAAAAAAAAAAAAGAAGAGGAGCUCAUGAGAGUGAGAGAUAAGAGUGAGGAACAAAAGAGAUGGGCGCAGAAACUGUUGACUCUGGGAAUUAGUGGGUUUACACCAAAAUGGCCAAAAGAUUCGAGCUUUAUGUGAAAUUUUCUCCUCAAAUUACACAACGAAUAUCAAAAACACCAUCAAAUCUUUGGGGUUGCUCCAAAAAAGAAAAGGCUAAAAUUAAAAGUUUCAGGUGAAAAUUUCUCCCGAGAAGAUCAAACCCACUACCAAAGCGAAUGAGUCUGCGAAGUGGGUUUGCUCCAAAAUGGCCAAAAAUUGAAGCUUUAUGUGAAAUUUUCUCCUCAAAUCACGCAACAAAAUCAAACCCACUACCAAAACUGCCGAGUAUGCGAAGUGAGCUUGCUCCAAAAUCGCCAAAAAUUGACGCUUUACGCAAAAUUUCUCCUCAAAUGACACAACAAAAUCAAGUGGGUUUGCUCCAAAAUCGCCAAAAAUCGAAGCUUUACGCGAAACUUCUCCUCAAACUACUCCAACAGAUCAAACCCACGUAAAUUCAAAAAAAAAAGAAAAAACACACGAAAUUAAGAAUCUUGCAACGAGAAACAGAAACAGAGUACCUAAAGAACCCAACGUAAAAAAUCCAAACUUUAACUACGGAAAGAGCUCUGCUCGCUUCAGAAACCAAUUAAUUCCCAAGCGAUGGGAUCGAAAAGCUCGAGGCUUUUCAAUUCGCUACGCAUCAAAGCCAAAGUAUCGGUGUACAACGAUAGAGAUUGAUGCUGCGGAGGCGGAGCGAGCGCACGAGUGGGGGGGGCGAUGCGGCGGAAGAGACGAGGAGAGAGGAGCUCACAAAAGCUCGUCUCCUUGUGCUUAAUCGCUUGUGUUGCCCCCACGCUUCAUAGCGAGAGGUUUUAAAUAAAUAAAUAAAUAAAUAAAUUGCAUCGAACGCAGUAAGUACACACACCCACAGGCCACAGCUCGGAUCGGAGAGCGGCGUGAGCUGUUCCUCCCCACCUAAUAAAUUAUUUCCAGCCCCCGCCGCGGAGGGUCGUGUCGCACCUUCACGAUUAUUAUUUCUUUUCUUGUUUUUUUUUUUUCUUUUUUUGGGUUACAUUCAGGUCCUGUAAAAGAUAAAUUUUUACAAGACUUAAAUAAUGAGAUUAUUUCUUUUAAUAAAAGUUUUGGUUCCUUCGCAUGUAUUAUUCUCCCUGUCUCUUGAUUCACCGCUACUUUUUUAAUAAACAUAUACUUAAAAUAAUUAUUUUGUGUCCUUAUAAAUUUAUCCCCCAUAAAAAGCUCCUUUUUUUAUUUUUAUUUUGUCGCCCCUCGCCUUUGCAGCGGCACGUGUGGCGUAUCUUAUUUUUGCCGUGCCAAGGACAUUGCCUUCGACGUUGCCGUUGCUGUAGACCUUGCCGUCGCGAUAGAUAAAAAAAAGAUGGUGAGAAAGAUAACGAGACUCGACAUUGAAAUACAAAAUUUAGGCAUAAAGGAUAAAAAGGUUAUUUUAUUUAUUAAUUAACUGACCGAUGAUUAUCUAAAUUUUGAUAACAGAAUGAUAUAUUUGCAAAUGAAAAAAUUUUUUGAGGAAUAAAUCUGAUAACUAAGUUUUAUAGGAAUAUAUUUACCAUGUGUAAUUAUCCUUUUUCUUAGUUAAGGGGCUUUUUGCUUUUUCUUUUGCCUGUUAUUCGAAAUUUUCAAAUUUAUACUAAAAUUAUCAAAAUAUUUUUU